AAAACAGCUGUAAUGGAUUUAUUUUUUAAAUAAAAAAAUCUUGAUAGAGAUCGAUACGCGUUUAGAAACUAUUGAGAACCGAAGCGGUGGAUAAUGCAUUAUAUACGACCUACAUUGUGACGGGCAGUCAGCAAAUUAAGGCCAUGAUCAUCAAAUUCCCAGCGGCAGUUGACAUGAGAUGAGUGGAGACUGGACAAGGAGAAACUGAGGCAUUCAUUAGUGUACUUGAAUGUCUCAGCUUGGUCUAUAACAAACACUAUGAAAACUCCACAAAUCUGCUUGUAAUUGCCUAAUGUAGAUAGGACAUAUGAGGAAAUCAUUUAUUUAGAAAGAUGUGUUUACUCUUUUUAAAAAUGUAACAAAAAUUGCAUUGACGUUGAUUGACAUUUUACACACAAAUGCUUUCAGUUUAAAUCAUAAGUAAAGGAAAAAACAGAUUCCAGAGACUUUAAAAUAUGUUAGUGAGGAAUUUCACUCAAAUGUAGAACAGAAUAUUUGUAGAUCCAAAGUAAAUGCUUAUGCGUUUUCUCUGUGUUAAUGUUAUUUGUGGUCAUGUAUAGAAAUAUUUUUUGAUUUCUUUAUUUUGAGUUUACAUUUGGUCACUGAUGUAGUAGUGCUUUCUAUUGUGAUGUUAAAGGAAAAUAAAAUUAAUUUUAUAAAUCCUGCA